UACGGGAGGCAGCAGUAAGGAAUAUUGGUCAAUGGACGCAAGUCUGAACCAGCCAUGCCGCGUGGAGGAUGAAGGUCCUAUGGAUUGUAAACUUCUUUUAUAUGGGAAGAAACCCCUUCAUUCUUGGAUGGUUGACGGUACCAAAAGAAUAAGCGCCGGCUAACUCCGUGCCAGCAGCCGCGGUAAUACGGAGGGUGCAAGCGUUAUCCGGAUUCACUGGGUUUAAAGGGUGCGUAGGUGGAUAAGUAAGUCAGUGGUGAAAUCUCCGAGCUUAACUCGGAAACUGCCAUUGAUACUGUUUGUCUUGAAUACGGUGGAGGUGGGCGGAAUAUGUCAUGUAGCGGUGAAAUGCUUAGAUAUGACAUAGAACACCAAUUGGGAAGGCAGCUGGCUACACGAAUAUUGACACUGAGGCAAGAAAGCGUGGGGAUCAAACAGGAUUAGAUACCCUGGUAGUCCACGCCCUAAACGAUGGAUACUCUACAUACGCGAUACACUUCAGUGUCUGAGCGAAAGCAUUAAGUUUCCAC
rnacentral:rRNA from 1 species